UACGUAGGGUGCAAGCGUUGUCCGGAAUUAUUGGGCGUAAAGGGCUCGUAGGCGGUUUGUCGCGUCGGGAGUGAAAACUCAGGGCUUAACCCUGAGCCUGCUUCCGAUACGGGCAGACUAGAGGUAUGCAGGGGAGAAUGGAAUUCCCGGUGUAGCGGUGAAAUGUGUAGAGAUCGGGAGGAACACCGGUGGCGAAGGCGGGUCUCUGGGCAUUCCCUGACGCUGAGGCGCGAAAGCUAGGGGAGCGAACAGG
rnacentral:rRNA from 1 species